rnacentral:rRNA from 1 species
AUUGAACGCUGGCGGCAGGCCUAACACAUGCAAGUCGCACGAGUGGCGGACGGGUGAGUAAUGUCUGGGAAACUGCCUGAUGGAGGGGGAUAACUACUGGAAACGGUAGCUAAUACCGCAUACCAUCGGAUGUGCCCAGAUGGGAUUAGCUAGUAGGUGGGGUAACGGCUCACCUAGGCGACGAUCCCUAGCUGGUCUGAGAGGAUGACCAGCCAAACUGGAACUGAGACACGGUCCAGACUCCUACGGGAGGCAGCAGUGGGGAAUAUUGCACAAUGGGCGCAAGCCUGAUGCAGCCAUGCCGCGUGUAUGAAGAAGGCCUUCGGGUUGUAAAGUACCGUCAGCGGGGAGGCGUUACCCGCAGAAGAAGAACCAGCAAAGCCCGCACCAGCAGCCGCGGUAAUAC